AGCGAACGCUGGCGGCAGGCCUAACACAUGCAAGUCGAACGAAGUCUUCGGACUUAGUGGCGGACGGGUGAGUAACACGUGGGAACGUGCCUUUAGGUUCGGAAUAACUCAGGGAAACUUGUGCUAAUACCGAAUGUGCCCUUCGGGGGAAAGAUUUAUCGCCUUUAGAGCGGCCCGCGUCUGAUUAGCUAGUUGGUGAGGUAAAAGCUCACCAAGGCGACGAUUAGUAGCUGGUCUGAGAGGAUGAUCAGCCACAUUGGGACUGAGACACGGCCCAAACUCCUACGGGAGGCAGCAGUGGGGAAUCUUGCGCAAUGGGCGAAAGCCUGACGCAGCCAUGCCGCGUGAAUGAUGAAGGUCUUAGGAUUGUAAAAUUCUUUCACCGGGGACGAUAAUGACGGUACCCGGAGAAGAAGCCCCGGCUAACUUCGUGCCAGCAGCCGCCGUAACAC
rnacentral:rRNA from 1 species